AGUAACUUAGAUUGCUAAGUACCCCUAAAGGAGCCGCUUGUUCAAGCGUCACUUCUUACCGAAUUGCUGUGUGUAGUCUUUGCCCAUCACCCUAUGAUGGGCUUUUUUUUUA
rnacentral:sRNA from 1 species